rnacentral:rRNA from 1 species
UACGAAGGGGGCUAGCGUUGCUCGGAAUCACUGGGCGUAAAGCGCACGUAGGCGGCUUGUUAAGUCAGGGGUGAAAUCCUGGAGCUCAACUCCAGAACUGCCUUUGAUACUGGCGAGCUUGAGUUCGGGAGAGGUGAGUGGAACUGCGAGUGUAGAGGUGAAAUUCGUAGAUAUUCGCAAGAACACCAGUGGCGAAGGCGGCGCACUGGCCCGAUACUGACGCUGAGGUGCGAAAGCGUGGGGAGCAAACAGG